UACGAACCGUCCAAACGUUAUUCGGAAUUAUUGGGCUUAAAGGGUAUGUAGGCGGCGCUGUUAGUCGGGUGUGAAAUCCCUCGGCUCAACCGAGGAAUUGCGCCCGAAACUGCAGUGCUUGAGGGAGACAGAGGUAAGCGGAACUGAUGGUGGAGCGGUGAAAUGCGUUGAUAUCAUCAGGAACACCGGUGGCGAAAGCGGCUUACUGGGUCUCUUCUGACGCUGAGAUACGAAAGCUAGGGGAGCGAAGGGG
rnacentral:misc_RNA from 1 species